rnacentral:rRNA from 1 species
UACAGAGGUCUCAAGCGUUGUUCGGAUUCAUUGGGCGUAAAGGGCGCGUAGGCGGUCAGCACAGGUCAGUUGUGAAAUCUCCGGGCUUAACUCGGAAAGGUCAACUGAUACUGUGCGACUAGAGUGCGGAAGGGGCAACUGGAAUUCUCGGUGUAGCGGUGAAAUGCGUAGAUAUCGAGAGGAACACCUGCGGCGAAGGCGGGUUGCUGGGCCGACACUGACGCUGAUGCGCGAAAGCCAGGGGAGCGAACGGG